UGUAUUUUUUGGACGGGACAGGAUAUGUUUAAAAGCUGGAUUCCAGACAAGCUGUCUUUCCAUUCCUCCCCUGCUGUGAGCUAUCUACUCACCCUGACGCAGUUCAUGGAUCUUUUUUGGCCACGGAUUGCCACACUGUUUUCUUUGUGGACAGCAGGGCAGACGGCCCCAGAUACACAUUGCAGUGUGGAAUGAGGUGUGUGGCCUUACAAAGAGUCUCUCUCUUAACCUUCCUAAGCCCCAGAGGAGAAGGGACAGUGGCAGACGUAACUUGGAAAACCAGGUACUGGAAUUUUAUCACUCUUCUUCCAAGACAGAAUUCCGAUGAGGGACUGUUGUGACUUUCUAAACAAAAGUCCCCCUGGAGUGAAGGCUCUGUCUCCACCACUGCCACAUCCUGCUAAUACAAGUACCAUGGAUGCCACCAAACCCUCGGUCCACUUCAGCUGUUUAAAUUCCUCUGCCAAAUGUAACACAGAGUCCAGGCUUUCUAAAAAUCAUGUUGUGGAGCAUCUCUAAUAAGGAAAAGGUCUCAAUGGAGCAACCACUGAGCUUUAAUUAUUCUCGAAAGAAAAAAGAAGUAAGCCUUGACAUAUUCUGAGUGGUCACAGUCCUGAGAAGCAGGUUGGUGACAAUCCUGUUUGACUUUCCCAUAGAGAGGAAAUGGAGGAAGAAUUCUUCCGUUAUAGCCCAAGGCUGUCAGCAAAGGUCUAUGACAUGGGCUAUUGAUUCCUCUGCCAAGUUAAAGGUAGGUGA